ACCUUCUGCUUCCCUCCUAGGCCAGGCAGAUGUUUUAACCAGUCCAGCUUUCAAAUUAUCAUUAUCUUCAGCCUGCUGAAAGAGUCCCUUCGAAUGCCUACAAGCUGUUUGCAUUUCACAUCUGUUACCCUUGCAGCUGUCAUGUCUCCGUUACUUGGCGUUCCUGCUCACACGUGGGGAAAAGCCUCUGGAUCCCAUUCCUGGAUUUCGGUCAAGACGCCUUGGUGAUUCUGGCACGUUGCUUUGUGCCUGGGAGCGUGGUGACUCAACCUGCUCAGCCUCGGGAAAAGCAGCUGUGGUAUCAAAGCAAACUGCAAACGUCAAGGAAGAGGGUCCAAAACAGCAAAGCGAGGCUGUGUUUGGCCCCAGAGCAGCUUGUUGCCCUGCCAAGCGUUCCCACCCAGGUCCUCUUCUCCUUCCUGAAGCUGGAGCGGCUGCUGGCAAAAGAAACAACAAAACCCUCAACGUUGAUGCUUUAUGUGGGUUUGGUGCUGGACACGUCCCUUGCCUCGCAGGAGGGAUGCUGAAUGAUUCGGUUGUGCCUAGAAGACAGGGCGGGCUGGAAGGGAAGAGCUGCCCCUUGGCGUGUGGGUUAGUGCAAAGCCCCAGAAAAACGAACUCACAUGUUUUGCUUUAUUGAACACGAUGUCACUGGGAAAAGCCACGAUGUGAACAAGUUUCCGGAGAGCAACCCUCAGCCCCUGAGUGUGGGUGCUCCAGGCUGGGAAAGCUAUUUCCUCCCGAUCUGCAGCUGUCUGACACGUAGCUGCUCCUUGCUGAGUAGUGCAGCUGAUGAGAAACCUCGGCCAUAAACGUUACACACGUUUGCACUUUCCCCGUGCCAGCUCAAGGUACAUUUCUCAGUCUCCUCUGUAGCAGGCUAUUUUCCAUCCCUCCCCUGUGUGACAGUCACGGAGGUAAGGGCUGUCCUCUUCUACUCAGAGCCAUGGAGCCAGGGGAACCGUUCCCUCAAACCAUCGGGCUCUCACAUCCCCUGUUUCCACCGCAUUCCCCCACGCAGGUUUUGGGACUUCCUGCCCUUUUCACAUGGUGUUGUGCUCCUUAAGUGCACCACGCACCAGCUGUCUUCCCACCCACUGUAUCAUCGUAUUCCUGGAGGCGCCAAGCCACGCAGUUGGGGCACAGUGUUGUAGUUAAAGAAGGGCUGAUCUCAUGAUGAAAGUACUGCCUGAGACUUAAGUGUUUUAGGGUGAAUUAGUGCUCUGCUCGAGUUUGUAGCAGAAGGAAUUUCCCCGAGUUCAGCCGUCGGGUCAGCCAGCAGCUUCCUACACUAACCCACUGGAGAACACAUGAAGUCCAAGUUCAUUACCUCCCCACCCACAGGGCUGGCAACUUGUGAGAAAGCUCACUAAGAGCGAGGAUUACAGUGGGAUUACAGUGGGAUUACAGUGAUGGUGUGGGCCUGGAGGAGCCCCAGGGACAUCACGGCACUGAAAGAAACACGGGGACUUCUGCCACACAUCAGGUUUGGGACAGAGCUCUCCUCCUGGCUGUAUUUGCUGAAAAGCUUCA